rnacentral:lncRNA from 1 species
UAAUUUCUCUCACACACUCUCUCUAGUUUCUUAAUCUUCUCUACGACGGCAACACCAGAGGCAUACGUCAUCCUUGCUGAAAGAGACAAUGUUAUCACAAAUAAAUGGUGGUAUGGAGUGCUGCAGAUCGGAGCGGGUGACCGAUGCUACAAAUCUCUGGGCGGCGCUGUAGUUCUCCCCACUACUUCAUUGCACUCGUUUCGGCACGUCCUUGCAAUAAACCUACUCCGACGGCUCCU